rnacentral:rRNA from 1 species
GACGGAGGAUGCAAGUGUUAUCCGGAAUCACUGGGCGUAAAGGGUCUGUAGGUGGUUUUCUAAGUCUGCUGUUAAAGCUUGAAGCUCAACUUCAAAAAUGCAUCGGAAACUAGAAGACUUGAGUAUGGUAGGGGUAGAGGGAAUUUCCAGUGAAGUGGUGAAAUGCGUAGAUAUUGGAAAGACCACCAAAGGCGAAGGCACUCUACUGGGCCACAACUGACACUGAGAGACGAAAGCUAGGGGAGCGAAUGGG